UUAAUAUUCAUGCUCAUUAUGUAAAUCAGUGAUCUCCUCCCCCUGAUCUGAAGCCAUUUUCCAGCAGAACAGAAGAGGAGAGCAGCAGAAUCCGGUCGAGACGCUCUGCUGUCUUUAAGAUGUCGUUCGGGAAAAGUCACACGGGGAGGAAAGAUGAUGCGGUGAUGCAGUACCUGCUCAAACACUCACUGAGGGAGCAUCCAGCACUGCGCCAACUCAGAGAG